GUUUUUUGGGGGCUGAAACUUGGUAUUUAGGAGGGUUUUAUGGGCACAGGAUGCCUGGUGACUUCUAGAGAUGGACUUGGGCAGGAGGAACCCCCAACCCAACGGGCUCACACCCUGUUUUUCCCACCAAAACAGGAUUUCUGAUUCCCAAACCUUGGCUGGAUGGAGGAGGAGGCUGUGAGGAAGAGGAAGAUGCCCCAGGACACCCAGACAGGACAACCUCGCUGUUGUCCUGCCGGGGAUGGAUUUGAGGGGAUCUCCUUCCCCUUCCCCUUCUCUCUCUGGGCUGGAACAGAUGAACAGGAGUGUCCAGUCCCAUAGGCCAAGAUGACACAAUGAAUCUCUGCAGUUCCUGCAAAGUAGAGCCUAAACCGUUAAACAAUUUUGCUGAUUAACCUUC